CCUACGGGAGGCAGCAGUGGGGAAUAUUGGACAAUGGGGGCAACCCUGAUCCAGCGACGCCGCGUGUGUGAAGAAGGCCUGCGGGUUGUAAAGCACUUUUAGUGGGGAGGAAGGCCCUCGACCUAAUACGUCGGAGGAUUGACUUAACCCACAGAAAAAGCACCGGCUAACUCUGUGCCAGCAGCCGCGGUAAUACAGAGGGUGCAAGCGUUAAUCGGAAUUACUGGGCGUAAAGCGUGCGUAGGCGGUUUCGUAAGUCGGAUGUGAAAGCCCCGGGCUCAACCUGGGAAUUGCCAUUCGAGACUGCGGAGCUCGAGUGCGGAAGAGGGAAGUGGAAUUUCCGGUGUAGCGGUGAAAUGCGUAGAUAUCGGAAGGAACAUCAGUGGCGAAAGCGACUUCCUGGUCCAGCACUGACGCUCAGGCACGAAAGCGUGGGGAGCAAACAGGAUUAGAUACCCUGGUAGUCCACGCCCUAAACGAUGUCAACUAGUUGUCGGGCCUAAUUGAGGGUUUGGUAACGUAGCUAACGCGUGAAGUUGACCGCCUGGGGAGUACGAUCGCAAGAUUAAAACUCAAAGGAAUUGACGG
rnacentral:rRNA from 1 species